rnacentral:rRNA from 1 species
UACGGAGAGGGCAAGCGUUGUCCGGAGUUACUGGGCGUAAAGGGUGCGCAGGCGGCGGUUCGCGUGGCGAGAUGAAAUCUCCUGGCUUACCUGGGAGGGUGGUCGCCAGACGGGAUCGCUUGAGGGUCGGAGAGGGGCGUGGAAUUCCGGGUGGAGCGGUGAAAUGCGUAGAGAUCCGGAGGAACACCGACGGCGUAGGCAGCGCCCUGGACGACACCUGACGCUGAGGCACGAAAGCUGGGGGAGCGAACAGG